UUGAACGCUGGCGGCAGGCCUAACACAUGCAAGUCGAACGGUAACAGGAAGCAGCUUGCUGCUUUGCUGACGAGUGGCGGACGGGUGAGUGAUGUCUGGGAAACUGCCUGAUGGAGGGGGAUAACUACUGGAAACGGUAGCUAAUACCGCAUAACGUCGCAAGACCAAAGAGGGGGACCUUAGGGCCUCUUGCCCAUCGGAUGUGCCCAGAUGGGAUUAGCUAGUAGGUGGGGUAACGGCUCACCUAGGCGACGAUCCCUAGCUG
rnacentral:rRNA from 1 species